AGAAAACUUUGCAAUGUGCGAAAGCACGACAAGGUUAAUCCGAGUGAUUCCUGCUAAAGGAAUCUUUUGUUAGUCAUAAAACCACUAAUGAAUAAGGGGUGGGCAAGUUCUGGUGUCAGCCGCCGCGGUAAAACCAGCACCUCAAGUGGUCAGGAUGAUUAUUGGGCCUAAAGCAUCCGUAGCCGGCCCUGUUAGUUUUCGGUUAAAUCUAUAUGCUCAACAUAUAGGCCGCCGGGAAUACUACUAAGCUAGGGAGUGGGAGAGGUAGACGGUACUCCGUAGGAAGGGGUAAAAUCCUUUGAUCUAUGGAUGACCACCUGUGGCGAAGGCGGUCUACCAGAACACGUUCGACGGUGAGGGAUGAAAGCUGGGGGUGCAAACCGGAUUAGAUACCCGGGUAGUCCCAGCUGUAAACUAUGCAAACUCAGUGAUGCAUUGGCUUGUGGCCAGUGCAGUGCCGCAGAGAAGUCGUUAAGUUUGCCGCCUGGGAAGUACGUACGCAAGUAUGAAACUUAAAGGAAUUGGCGGGGAGCAC
rnacentral:rRNA from 1 species